rnacentral:rRNA from 1 species
CCUACGGGUGGCAGCAGUGAGGAAUAUUGGUCAAUGGGCGCGAGCCUGAACCAGCCAAGUAGCGUGAAGGAUGACGGCCCUACGGGUUGUAAACUUCUUUUAUAAAGGAAUAAAGUGAGGCACGCGUGCCUUUUUGUAUGUACUUUAUGAAUAAGGCUCGGCUUACUCCGUGCCAGGAGCCGCGGUUAUAAGGAGGAUCCGAGCGUUAUCCGGAUUUAUUGGGGUUAAAGGGAGCGUAGAGGGGAUGAUCAGUCAGUUGUGAAAGUUUUCGGCUCAACCGUAGACUUGCAAUUGAUACUGGCAGUCUUGAGUGCGGGUGAGGUAGGCGGAAUUCGUGGUGUAGCGGUGAAAUGCUUAGAUAUCACGAAGAACUCCGAUUGCGAAGGCAGCUUACUAAACUGCCACUGACAUUGAUGCUCGAAAGUGUGGGUAUCAAACAGGAUUAGAUACCCUGGUAGUC